CCUACGGGAGGCUGCAGUGAGGAAUAUUGGUCAAUGGACGAGAGUCUGAACCAGCCAAGUAGCGUGAAGGAUGACUGCCCUAUGGGUUGUAAACUUCUUUUAUAAAGGAAUAAAACGAGGCACGUGUGCCUUUUUGCAUGUACUUUAUGAAUAAGGAUCGGCUAACUCCGUGCCAGCAGCCGCGGUAAUACGGAGGCUCCGAGCGUUAUCCGGAUUUAUUGGGUUUAAAGGGAGCGUAGAUGGGUUGUUAAGUCAGUUGUGAAAGUUUGCGGCUCAACCGUAAAAUUGCAAUUGAUACUGGCAGUCUUGAGUACAGUUGAGGUAGGCGGAAUGCGUGGUGUAGCGGUGAAAUGCUUAGAUAUCACGAAGAACCCCGAUUGCGAAGGCAGCUUACUAAACUGUUACUGACAUUGAUGCUCGAAAGUGUGGGUAGCAAACAGGAUUAGAUACCCGUGUAGUC
rnacentral:rRNA from 1 species